rnacentral:rRNA from 1 species
GACGAACGCUGGCGGCGUGCUUAACACAUGCAAGUCGAACGGAAGGACCCUGCUUUUGUGGGGUGCUCGAGUGGCGAACGGGUGAGUAACACGUGAGUAACCUGCCCUUGACUUUGGGAUAACUUCAGGAAACUGGGGCUAAUACCGGAUAGGAGCUCCUGCUGCAUGGUGGGGGUUGGAAAGUUUCGGCGGUUGGGUAUGGACUCGCGGCUUAUCAGCUUGUUGGUGGGGUAGUGGCUUACCAAGGCUUUGACGGGUAGCCGGCCUGAGAGGGUGACCGGCCACAUUGGGACUGAGAUACGGCCCAGACUCCUACGGGAGGCAGCAGUGGGGAAUAUUGCACAAUGGGCGGAAGCCUGAUGCAGCAACGCCGCGUGCGGGAUGACGGCCUUCGGGUUGUAAACCGCUUUCGCCUGUGACGAAGCGUGAGUGACGGUAAUGGGUAAAGAAGCACCGGCUAACUACGUG